rnacentral:sRNA from 1 species
AGACUUCACGGGAGGCUACCGCCUGGGGCGCUCGGCCUCCACCUCCGGAGUCCGGCAGGUCGUGCUCCACACACCCCGGCCCUGCAGCCAGCCCAGGGAUGCCCUGAGCCAGCCCCACCCCGCGCUGCCGCUGCCUCUGCCCCUGCCGCCCCAGCCGGCCCGCGAGCGUGACGGGAAGCUGCUGGAGGUGAUUGAGCGCAAGCGCUGCGUGUGCAAGGAGAUCAAGGCGCGCCACCGCCCGGACCGAGGCCUCUGCAAGCAGGAGAGCAUGCCCAUCCUCCCCAGCUGGCGGCGGGGGCCCGAGCCCCGCAAGUCCGGCACCCCGCCCUGCCGCCGGCAGCACACGGUCCUCUGGGACACCGCCAUCUGAGGCGGGCGGGGGGGUACCGGGGCGCCUGGACUGGGGAGGGGGCGGGCACGCCUGGCUCUCCCGGGAGCCUCGCCUUGAGAGACAUUGAAGGACUACGUGGGAGAGUGCCAGGGAGAACCCCUGCCCUCCAACCUACCCCCCGGGAUGGGGAGAGUCUGCCAGGCCCAUUGGGCUUAGGAUGCC